CCUACGGGAGGCAGCAGUGGGGGAUAUUGCACAAUGGGGGAAACCCUGAUGCAGCGACGCCGCGUGGGUGAAGAAGCGCCUCGGCGCGUAAAGCCCUGUCAGCAGGGAAGAAAAUGACGGUACCUGAAGAAGAAGCCCCGGCUAACUACGUGCCAGCAGACGCGGUAAUACGUAGGGGGCAAGCGUUAUCCGGAUUUACUGGGUGUAAAGGGGGCGCAGACGGCGAUGCAAGCCAGGAGGGAAAGCCCGGGGCCCAACCCCGGGACGGCUCUUGGAACUGCGUGGCUAGAGUGCAGGAGGGGCAGGCGGAAUUCCUGGUGGAGCGGUGAAAUGCGUAGAUAUCAGGAGGAACACCGGUGGCGAAGGCGGCCUGCUGGACUGCAACUGACGUUGAGGCCCGAAAGCGUGGGGAGCAAACAGGAUUAGAUACCCUUGUAGUC
rnacentral:rRNA from 1 species